GAUGAACGCUGGCGGCGUGCCUAAUACAUGCAAGUCGAGCGAACAGACGAGGAGCUUGCUCCUCUCACGAUAGCGGAGGAGGGGAGAGAAACACGUGUAUAACCUACCUAUAAGACUGGGAUAACUUCGAGAAACCGGCGCAAAUAGCGUAUAAUAUAUUGAAGCGCGUGGUUGAAUGGUAAAUGACGGCUUUUCUGUAUGUAAUAGCUGGAUCUCCGCCGCAUGAGGUGGUUGGUAAGGUUAAGGCUUUCCAAGGCAACGAUGCGUAGCCGAGCUGAGAGGCUGGUCGCCGACACGGGAACUGAGACACCGUCCAGACUACUACGAGAGGCAGCAGUAGCGUAUCUGCGGCAAUAGGCGAGAACCUGACGGAGCAACGGCGCGUGAGUUAUGGAGGUCUCCGGAUCGUGAAGCCCUGUUAUGAGGUGUGAACAAAUGUGUAAGUUACUGUGCACGUAUUGACGGUAACGAGUCAGAAAGCCCCGGCUAACUACGUG
rnacentral:rRNA from 1 species